GCUUGCAAUUAUAUAGGCUAGGAAUACGAUCAUAAUCUUCAUUGUCUGUAAGAAUGCUUUGGACUAUCAUGCCAAGUUGAAGAGAAUGUUUUCCAAUAACUGUAACGUAUCUCCAUUUCUUAUAUUACGAGAGGAGAAAUGACUUUAUAUAGUUCAUAUGUGUGCAUGAAGGCUAUAACCAUCUGCUGAAAUUAUGAACGGUGUGUUGGAUAGGUCUGAAGGUCAGAUGUGAGUCAGUGGUAGUGGUAUAUUUCAGGGAGACUUCAAAGUUUAUCCAACCAUGUUGAAAAGCCACAGUGAGUGCACAGCCUUCAUAUGAAGUAGGUCAAUUCAUUUCCCCCUCUAAUGUCCUUUGGUGGCAGUCGUGA